CGCGAGCAUUGCAUUUAUUCUGAACUUCAGACCUGCGCUUGGAGAGAGCCAUAGGACGCGCUACCAACAUCAGGCUAAUGGAACGUGAAGUAUGGACUUUUUGACCGAAAAUACAUCUGUUGUGGACCUGGGAUGCUUUCUGAUGAAGACAACUAAAGGUGUCACGAUCUGCCAAUGUUGGAUGCACAACCCAGUAAGGGGGGGACGAAGUGUUCAGAACACUGAAUAUGACAGACGGAGGUUGGUACGCUCAUCCAGAAACUUCAAAAUGGAGGUUCUUCGUUGAAUCCACCGUGUGGCAGAAAUCCCCUCGUGUUUCUUCCUCUGGUACGUGUAGACAUUUUCAAUUGCCAGUUUUAUCCACCUUCCCCCUUUGAAAAUCCAAAAAACCUCCUCUGCCAAUCUUUGCAACAUGUACUUCUUCAGGAUUUUGUUGGUGACUAUUCCUGCA
rnacentral:lncRNA from 1 species